GACGAACGCUGGCGGCGUGCUUAACACAUGCAAGUCGAACGGAAAGGCCCUGCUUUUGUGGGGUGCUCGAGUGGCGAACGGGUGAGUAACACGUGAGUAACCUGCCCUUGACUUUGGGAUAACUUCAGGAAACUGGGGCUAAUACCGGAUAGGAGCUCCUGCUGCAUGGUGGGGGUUGGAAAGUUUCGGCGGUUGGGGAUGGACUCGCGGCUUAUCAGCUUGUUGGUGGGGUAGUGGCUUACCAAGGCUUUGACGGGUAGCCGGCCUGAGCGGGUGACCGGCCACAUUGGGACUGAGAUACGGCACAGACUCCUACGGGAGGCAGCAGUGGGGAAGAUUGCACAAUGGGCGGAAGCCUGAUGCAGCAACGCCGCGUGCGGGAUGACGUGCUUCGGGUUGUAAACCGCUUUCGCCUGUGACGAAGCGUGAGUGACGGUAAUGGGUAAAGAAGCACCGGCUAACUACGUG
rnacentral:rRNA from 1 species